rnacentral:lncRNA from 1 species
GGCGAAGGGCCGGGGUCCCAGCAGCCUGGGGGGGCUGCCCCGGGAGGGGCUGGGCCUCCACCAUUGGGAGGGCUAGGGGCACGUGAGGGGCUCCUGGGCAGGCCGUGGUGGUGCCAGGAAGUGCCAGGCCGGGCAGGGGACCCGGGCCCCCGAGGCGCCGCCCAGCCCGGGGCAGCUGCUUCCUGGCACAGAGGCAGUUAAACCGCGCGCAGCUGCCGAGCCAGCGCCGCUGCCCCCCUGCCCUGGGGGGAGGGGACACGGCCCGCUCCCCUCUGUCCUCGCCGUGCCCGCCCUACGGUUUCCGUCCACGUGCGGGGUCACCGCCCGGCUCUGGCCAACGCCGGCUCUGGCAGAGCCCCCCACGUGGGUACCAGCCGAGCGUGUUGGUUAUUUAUUGCCGCGUAACAAGCAACCCGAUACUUAGUGGAUCAAGAAAAAAAGAAGGAAGAGCUUAAAGAAUGAAGGGGGCAGGUCAACCGUCGCAACAACGACACAGACGCCGGCUCGAAGGGACGAUGGGGCAGGAGAGCAAGUGACGGUGGAUGAUUGCAGCCCCCCGCCUUCGUCCCCUAAGGCGGCCGCGCCCGGCCCCGGGCGGCUGGGGGCUUCGCGGCAGCUCUGGAGCCGGAGGCCGCAUCCAGGCCGUGGGC